GGUAUAGCUCAGUUGGUUAGAGCGCCAGGUUGUGGCCCUGGAGGCCAACGGUUCGAAUCCGUUUAC
rnacentral:tRNA from 1 species